rnacentral:rRNA from 1 species
UGGGGAAUAUUGCGCAAUGGGCGAAAGCCUGACGCAGCGACGCCGCGUGAGGGAUGAAGGUCUUCGGAUCGUAAACCUCUGUCAGCAGGGAAGAACGGUCACUGUGCUAAUCAGCAGUGAAUUGACGGUACCUGCAAAGGAAGCA